AUCAAUAUAAAAACUGAGCAAAAUCAAACCUAGUCUAUGCACUUUCAGGACUAACCAAAAUCAAACAUUGAAAAUUGCGUGGAGAAGCGGAAACAUGUCACAAUAACAGGGGCGGAUCCAGCAAAAAGUCUGACUGAGUUCCAGGCAAAGGCUAGGGUCUUUUAGGUAAUGCAUUGAUAAUUGUUCCUAAGACAACAUCAUUAUUCACAUUGAUGCAUUUUGGUACUAUCCACUCACUAAAUCUAGAUUAUAGGUUUUUUUUCCGACAGAAACCAGUGCCUCACUGAAAAUUUCUGCAACCCCCUCCCUUUCUAAAUACCCCUUUGUUUGUCUUAAAUGCCACAGCAACGUUUUCCCUUUUGUUUUACUCGCACUUUGUUGUUUUGCCCACGUAGACACCGGCCUAGGUCUCUCUUGCCAUCAACGACUGCAAUUUAUAAUAAAGGUAGUUAAUGCUGCUGGAAAAUUACCGAUACUUCUUGGUUUUAUCUUAAACGCUUAAUAAUCUGCUAGAAUGUUGCAAGGGUCAUGAAAAUAAGACAUCUGCAGUCGCCAUUUCGAAUUCAAAGUUUUGCAGUUCUACAACAGAUUAGAAACAAUAGGUAGCCAAUCAACUACUGGCUAUUGUACAGCUCUCCUACGAAUAUGGUAUCAUUUCCGAGUUCCAGAUGUUGUUUUGACUGAGUUCCAUCCGUGUUCCAAACAAAAAUUUCAUUGUUUCAAUUCAUUCACUUUCGAGGCACUAAAUGUUUAUUUCCGAAUUCUAGGAUUGACUGCUGUUGUCCUCCACAACGUCUGGAAAAUAGUUUCAAAAUCACGACAGAGAAGAAGGAAGGAAAAGGACGAGCGAAUCACAUUAAACUGGAAUUAUAGCCAUCACAGUGUCUUAAUAUCGACCUCCAGGAUUUUAAGACAAAUUUUAUCAAUUAACGAUAGCAAAUGUGCACAGAUUGGCCUAAGAAGAAAUGUGUUUACAGUAUCUGGCUGCCUUUCACAGUUGAGUUUCACUGGAACAACUGUUAAAAACAAGACAGCUCAAUCAAUAAAUGAAAAGACCGAACGGAACAAUGCAACGAAAUGCGAUGCCGUUCCUGUUUCUUUCGAUCUUCUGCUAUACAAUGACCAAAAAACUUGUCUUUGGCUCAGGUAAGCAUUACUAGCAGGUUUUGAUAGAUUUUAAUAUGAUUAUUGUUAACGUUGUGUGUAUGUGUUUGCAUGUGCUUGGCAUUUUUUGACUGACUUUCAAACAGAAAGUUGGCAGUUUACGUAAGGGACGGCUGACAUUAAUCCCGGCUUUAUAUGCAGCGAGCUAGCCCGGACAGCUGAGCUGAGUGCAUUUGUUUGAAAAAUUGCUAAUUGAUAGCUAAUAGCAAAAAACUUGCAUAAAGAAAGCUAAAGGGAUAUAAGAAACCAAUAUUUGUGAGACUGGUCUCACAUACAAUGUCCUCCGAUGCAGCUCAGUUCUUAUGCAAAUUAAAUAGAAUUUGAAAUUGUUUUUAGGGUACCAGAAUUUAUAUGCUUCAUUCAACUUAUUUACUAACAAUCUCUUUGAGAAUCCUAUCUCUAGGCAAUUCUUAUUUUCUUAGACGAGAUAUUUAUGAAAACAUCUAAUAAAACUCGAAUUUGAAGAUUCGUGGAUCUAUAGACUUUUUUUUUUCGGCUUCAUCAGUUUCGUUGCAAUUGUGUUCACAUAUUGUUUACUUUUACACCUUUUCAAAUUAUAAGAUAAAGGUUAAUUCUCCUUGUCAAUAUUAAGAUUUUUCUAGGUUUUUUUCUCCACUGCCUGAUAGAAAUCGGUCAGCUUUUAGCCGUUGUAUUUCAUAAUUCCAUUCGUCUGAUCAGAUUCAUGAUUUCCUGCUACAUGUGUGAAUUCUUAAAUCUUUCUCUAUCAAUUUUAGU